rnacentral:rRNA from 1 species
GACGAACGCUGGCGGCGUGCUUAACACAUGCAAGUCGAACGGAAAGGCCCUGCUUUUGUGGGGUGCUCGAGUGGCGAACGGGUGAGUAACACGUGAGUAACCUGCCCUUGACUUUGGGAUAACUUCAGGAAACUGGGGCUAAUACCGGAUAGGAGCUCCUGCUGCAUGGUGGGGGUUGGAAAGUUUCGGCGGUUGGGGAUGGACUCGCGGCUUAUCAGCUUGUUGGUGGGGUAGUGGCUUACCAAGGCUUUGACGGGUAGCCGGCCUGGGAGGGUGACCGGGCACAUGGGGACUGAGAUACGGACCAGAAUCCUACGGGAGGCAGCAGUGGGGAAUAUUGCACAAUGGGCGGAAGCCUGAUGCAGCAACGCCGCGUGCGGGAUGACGGCCUUCGGGUUGUAAACCGCUUUCGCCUGUGACGAAGCGUGAGUGACGGUAAUGGGUAAAGAAGCACCGGCUAACUACGUG